rnacentral:rRNA from 1 species
UACGAGGGGUGCGAGCGUUGCUCGGAAUUACUGGGCGUAAAGGGCGCGUAGGUGGCCAACUAAGUCAGACGUGAAAUCCCUCGGCUUAACCGGGAAACUGCGUCUGAUACUGGAUGGCUUGAGUGUGGGAGAGGGAUGCGGAAUUCCAGGUGUAGCGGUGAAAUGCGUAGAUAUCUGGAGGAACACCGGUGGCGAAGGCGGCAUCCUGGACCACGACUGACACUGAAACGCGAAAGCCAGGGGAGCAAACGGG